CAAGGAAAGCCAAGAAACCUUUGCUUUGGAAGGAGAAAAUGGGGAAAGCAGAAAGGAAGAAAAGCAGCCCCCUGACUCCUCCCUGAGCCCCAGACAGCCCAUGAACUGCCUUGCUGGGAAUGGUAGGAUGGGGUGGACUCUGGAUUGCUCCCUCUGGAUGUGUGGCUCUCCCCUCAGGAACUCCAGGAACUCCUGGUGCCGCCUGGGCCGAUGGAUUGGACGCCCCAGCCCCUCCGUUCCUGCCCAGCCACUGGGUCCGUGUCCAGUGGUGGCACUGCCAGCCCUGCAGUGGGAUGUAGCCUGGAAAGUGCACAGAGCUGAGCCAAGGGAUUGAAAGGGACCAAGCAAGGGAGGUGAAGAAGGAAGGAAGAAGGGAAGUGAGGCAGCAG